rnacentral:rRNA from 1 species
GCUUACACAUGCAGUCGAACGGUGAACCAGGAGCUUGCUCUUGGGGAUCAGUGGCGAACGGGUGAGUAACACGUGAGCAACCUGCCCCUGACUCUGGGAUAAGCGCUGGAAACGGCGUCUAAUACUGGAUACGAACAGCGACCGCAUGGUCAGUUGUUGGAAAGAUUUAUUGGUUGGGGAUGGGCUCGCGGCCUAUCAGCUUGUUGGUGAGGUAAUGGCUCACCAAGGCGUCGACGGGUAGCCGGCCUGAGAGGGUGACCGGCCACACUGGGACUGAGACACGGCCCAGACUCCUACGGGAGGCAGCAGUGGGGAAUAUUGCACAAUGGGCGCAAGCCUGAUGCAGCAACGCCGCGUGAGGGAUGACGGCCUUCGGGUUGCAAACCUCUUUUAGCAGGGAAGAAGCGAAAGUGACUGUACCUUC